UAUUUUGACUAUGCGAAGGUAUUGAAAUAAGGCUUUAAAUGAGUGCUAAGAGAAUGGUUUAACAAUUAUAAGCUUUCUUUAAUUAAAAAAUUAAAUUUAAUUUUUUUGUGAAGAAGCAAAAAUUUAAAUUAGGGACAAGAAGACCCUAUGAAUUUUAUAUUAAAUAAUAUAAUUUAAUGAAAUUAUAUUAUUUGAAUUAAUUGGGGUGAUUUAAAAAGAAUAUAUAUCUUUUUAAAAAGUUAAUUUGUUCCGUUUUUAACGAUUUUAUGAAAAAAAUA
rnacentral:rRNA from 1 species